AGAGUUUGAUCCUGGCUUAGGACGAACGCUGGCGGCGUGCCCCAAUACAUGCAAGGUCGAACGGACGAUGGGGCUUCGGCCCCAAAGUUAGUGGCGAACGGGUGAGUAACGCGUGAGCAACCUGACUCAAAGAGGGGGACAACAGCUGGAAACGGCUGCUAAUACCGCAUAAGACCACAGCGCGGCAUCGCAAAGGGGUCAAAGAAUUAUCGCUUUGAGAGGGGCUCGCGUCCCAUUAGAUAGUUGGUGAGGUAACGGCCCACCAAGUCCGCGAUGGGUAGCCGAGCUGAGAGGCUGAUCGGCCACACUGGAACUGAGACACGGUCCAGACUCCUACGGGAGGCAGCAGUAGGGAAUAUUGGGCAAUGGGCGCAAGCCUGAACCCCCAGCAACGCCGCGUGAGGGAAGAAGGUUUUCGGAUUGUAAACCUCUGUCCUAUGUGACGAAGGAAGUGACGGUAGCAUAGGAGGAAGCCCCGGCUAACUACGUGCCAGCAGCGGC
rnacentral:rRNA from 1 species